rnacentral:tRNA from 1 species
UCGCCGCCUGGGAGAGGGCCGCCUCCGGCGCCCUGCCGUGGCGCGUGAGCAUCGAGGAGCGCGCCUGGUCCGGCUUCGGUCGGCAGC